rnacentral:rRNA from 1 species
UACGUGGUAGUGUAUGGAUACCAGGCUUUCACGGGGAAACAGGGGAUUAGGGUUCGAUUUUGGAGAAGGAGCCUGAGAAACGGCUAUACAUCUACGGAAGGCAGCAGGCGCGUAAAUUACCCAAACAUGACUCAGGGAGGUGGUGACAAGAUAUAACAACGCAAUUUCAUUGUGAUUGUGCCUAGCUAGAUAUAGUAUGGCAAUCUCGAAUAUAUAUCGUGAUGGGGAUAGAUCUUUGCAAUUAUAGAUCUUGAACGAGGAAUACCUAGUAAGUGCAAGUCAUCAUCUUGCAUUGAUUAUGUCCCUGCCCUUUGUACACGCCCAGUGGAUCCUACCGAUACCGGGUGAUCCGGGAACCGUGGACCCUUGGGAAAAAUUUUUCCCCCCUCCUUACAUAAUGACAGCCCGUAGCUGAACUACCGAAGUUUC